rnacentral:rRNA from 1 species
GAUGAACGCUGGCGGCGUGCCUAAUACAUGCAAGUCGAGCGAACGGACGAGAAGCUUGCUUUUCUGAUGUUAGCGGCGGACGGGUGAGUAACACGUGGAUAACCUACCUAUAAGACUGGGAUAACUUCGGGAAACCGGAGCUAAUACCGGAUAAUAUUUUGAACCGCAUGGUUCAAAAGUGAAAGACGGUCUUGCUGUCACUUCUAGAUGGAUCCGCGCUGCAUUAGCUAGUUGGUAAGGUAACGGCUUACCAAGGCAACGAUGCAUAGCCGACCUGAGAGGGUGAUCGGCCACACUGGAACUGAGACACUGUCCAGACUCCUACGGGAGGCAGCAGUAGGGAAUCUUCCGCAAUGGGCGAAAGCCUGACGGAGCAACGCCGCGUGAGUGAUGAAGGUCUUCGGAUCGUAAAACUCUGUUAUUAGGGAAGAACAUAUGUGUAAGUAACUGUGCACAUCUUGACGGUACCUAAUCAGAAAGCCACGGCUAACUACGUG